UACAGAGGUGGCAAGCGUUGUUCGGAAUUACUGGGCGUAAAGGGCGCGUAGGCGGCCUUCUAAGUCAGACGUGAGAUCCCCCGGCUUAACCUGGGAACUGCGUCUGAUACUGGGAGGCUUGAGUAUGGGAGAGGGAUGUAGAAUUCCAGGUGUAGCGGUGAAAUGCGUAGAUAUCUGGAGGAAUACCGGUGGCGAAGGCGGCAUCCUGGACCAUUACUGACGCUGAGGCGCGAAAGCUAGGGGAGCAAACGGG
rnacentral:rRNA from 1 species